rnacentral:misc_RNA from 1 species
AGCAGCCGCGGUAAUUCCAGCUCCAAUAGCGUAUAUUAAAGUUGUUGCAGUUAAAAAGCUCGUAGUUGAAUUUCGGGAUCAGUUGGUCGGUCGUGCCUCGGUACGUACUGGUCAAAUUGAUUCCUACCUUCUGACGAACCACGAUGUCAUUAAUUUGGUGUCGCGGGAAAUCAGGACUGUUACUUUGAAAAAAUUAGAGUGUUUAAAGCAGGCUCGCGCUUGAAUACAUUAGCAUGGAAUAAUGAAAUAGGACGUUUGAUUCUAUUUUGUUGGUUUCUAGGAUCGACGUAAUGAUUAAUAGGGAUAGUUGGGGGCAUUAGUAUUCAAUUGUCAGAGGUGAAAUUCUUGGAUUAUUGAAGACUAACUACUGCGAAAGCAUUUGCCAAGGAUGUUUUCAUUAAUCAAGAACGAAAGUUAGGGGAUCGAAGACGAUCAGAUACCGUCGUAGUCUUAACCAUAAACUAUGCCGACUAGGGAUCGGAUGAUGUUAAUUUUUUAAUGACUCAUUCGGCGCCUUACG